rnacentral:rRNA from 1 species
AUUGAACGCUGGCGGAAUGCUUUACACAUGCAAGUCGAGCGGCAGCGCGGGGCAACCUGGCGGCGAGCGGCGAACGGGUGAGUAAUGCAUCGGAACAUGUCCAUGUCGUGGGGGAUAGCCCGGCGAAAGCCGGAUUAAUACCGCAUACGUCCGAGAGGAGAAAGUGGGGACCCGGCAAGGGCCUCACGCGAUUGGGUUGGCCGAUGUCCGAUUAGCUAGUUGGUGAGGUAAAGGCUCACCAAGGCGAUGAUCGGUAGCUGGUCUGAGAGGAUGAUCAGCCACACUGGGACUGAGACACGGCCCAGACUCCUAC